GAUGAACGCUGGCGGCGUGCUUAACACAUGCAAGUCGAACGAGAAUCCGGGGAAGGAGGCUUCGGCCAACGGAACUGGAGGAAAGUGGCGGACGGGUGAGUAACGCGUGAGUAACCUGCCUUGGAGAGGGGAAUAACACAUCGAAAGAUGUGCUAAUACCGCAUGAAAUGUCUGAAUCGCAUGGUUCUGGACAUCAAAGAUUUAUCGCUCUGAGAUGGACUCGCGUCUGAUUAGCUGGUUGGCGGGGUAACGGCCCACCAAGGCGACGAUCAGUAGCCGGACUGAGAGGUUGGCCGGCCACAUUGGGACUGAGACACGGCCCAG
rnacentral:rRNA from 1 species